rnacentral:rRNA from 1 species
UACGUAGGCAGCAAGCGUUGUUCGGAAUUACUGGGCGUAAAGAGUGUGUAGGCGGUGCUCCAAGUCUGGUGUGAAAUCUCCCGGCUUAACCGGGAGGGUGCGGCGAAUACUGAGAUGCUGGAGUGCCGGAGAGGUAAGCGGAAUUCCUGGUGUAGCGGUGAAAUGCGCAGAUAUCAGGAGGAACACCGGUGGCGAAGGCGGGUCUCUGGGCCGAUACUGACGCUGAGGAGCGAAAGCGUGGGGAGCAAACAGG